UGGGGAAUAUUGCGCAAUGGGGGCAACCCUGACGCAGCCAUGCCGCGUGCACGAUGAAGGCCCUAGGGUUGUAAAGUGCUUUCGAGUGGGAAGAUAAUGACGGUACCACUAAAAGAAGUCCCGGCUAACUCCGUGCCAGCAGCCGCGGUAAUACGGAGGGGGCAAAUGUUGCUCGGAUUCACUGGGCGUAAAGCGACCGCAGGCGGCUUUUUAAGCCAGAUGUGAAAUCCCGGUGCUUAACAUCGGAACUGCAUUUGGAACUGGAAAGCUAGAGGUUGUGAGAGGAAAACGGAAUUUCCAGUGUAGAGGUGAAAUUCGUAGAUAUUGGAAGGAACACCAGAGGCGAAGGCGGUUUUCUGGCACAUUACUGACGCUCAGGGUCGAAAGCGUGGGGAGCAAACAGGAUUAGAUACCCGUGUAGUCC
rnacentral:rRNA from 1 species